rnacentral:rRNA from 1 species
GUGGAAAGUGGCGAACGGGUGAGUAACACGUUGGUGACCUGCCCUGAGGAGGGGAAUAACCGUGGGAAACCACGGCUAAUACCCCGGAUGUCUAAGCUGUUAGAGGGCUUAGACUAAAGCCCCUGCAAGGGGUGCGCCUCGGGAGGGGCCUGCGGGCUAUCAGCUUGUUGGUGGGGUAAUGGCUUACCAAGGCGAAGACGGCUAGGGGGCGUGAGAGCGCGACCCCCCACAAUGGAACUGAGACACGGUCCAUACUCCUACGGGAGGCAGCAGUGAGGAAUAUUGCGCAAUGGGGGCAACCCUGACGCAGCAACGCCGCGUGGACGAUGAAGGCCUUCGGGUUGUAAAGUCCUUUUCUGAAGGAAGAUAGUGACGGUACUUCAGGAAUAAGUCCCGGCUAACUACGUGCCAGCAGCCGCGGUAAAACGUAGGGGGCGAGCGUUAUCCGGAUUUACUGGGCGUAAAGCGCACGUAGGCGGCAUCGUAAGUUGGACGUGAAAGCUCCCGGCUCAACUGGGAGAGGUCGUUCAAAACUGUGGUGCUUGAGGUUGAUAGAGGAGAGUGGAAUUCCCGGUGUAGUGGUGGAAUGCGUAGAUAUCGGGAGGAACACCAGUGGCGAAGGCGGCUCUCUAGGUCACACCUGACGCUGAGGUGCGAAAGCGUGGGGAGCGAACGGGAUUAGAUACCCCGGUAGUCCACGCUGUAAACGAUGGAUACUAGGUGUGGGAGGUUAUUUACCCCUUCUGUGCCGUAGCUAACGCGUUAAGUAUCCCGCCUGGGGACUACGGCCGCAAGGUUAAAACUCAAAGGAAUUGACGGGGGCCCGCACAAGCAGCGGAGCGUGUGGUUUAAUUCGAUGAUACGCGAAGAACCUUACCUGGGCUUGACAUGGUGGUAGUAGUGAAGCGAAAGCGGAACGACCCUUCGGGGAGCCAUCACAGGUGCUGCAUGGCUGUCGUCAGCUCGUGUCGUG